UAAAAGCAGCACGUAUUAUACCAUUCGUUAGUUCAUCAGGAUUUGCCUGAAAAUUAAAUAAAAGAGUCAUCAGUUACCACCACAGCCUCCUUUGUGUUCCUGAUGUUGCUCUGGUUUUCCUUCCCAUCCGGCCAGACAAGCCUUUGGAGAAUGCGUAUCCAUCUUGCAGGCUCACUUUGUAUUCUGUAAACUUUCUGUUCGAAAAUAAAGGCAUAGUCUCUCUGUCA